CGUGGAUUUAUUGCCACUAAAUCUUCUGUGCACACGGUGAGAGGCUCAGGCUGAGGAGUAACAAUCCCAGCUCUGUGCUGGUUCACAUGAGCAGAACUGGCGGGCCGUGGCAGGCACGUCCCGCAGAGGAUUGCUUGUCCAUGCUCUGAUUGCCCACUGUAUGUGGUGGUGCCACGAGUCUUACCCACGUUUGUCCGGUGACACGCUUCCGCCGGGCGUGGGAAAUGCCAACACUGUGUCAGCGACACUCACAUUUCUCAUUGCGCUCUCUUUGUCAGAUGAGGACAUGCUUAUCCUAACAGGUCUCCUGUGAACUUUGGACCAAACUUUUGUGAGAACUCUGUCACUGAACCUGUUACUUACCUGCCCUUCUUUCUUUUUGGACAAGGUGUUUUGCUAUUCCUUUCCCCAUUUGCCACUUAUCAAAAGCAAGGUGAUAACCAUCUUCUCUGUUUGACGAGGCGCAUCAUAUUUCAAUCUAGCUGUGGAGAAAAUCCCUUUCUUCCUGGAAAGCAGGCAACCUGAAUUGCAAGGUCAGAGAUUCAAAGUUUUCUUUUUUCAAAAUUUAUUUUUAAACCAAGCAGAUGUAUAUCCUAAGUCUCUUACUUAAUCUGAGCUUUUUGUUUUUCUUAUUAUAAAUUAAGAGGUUGGACCCCGUGGCCUCUUUGCAAGAUCCUUUCUGCAUUCUAAAUGCCAAGGAUGCUUCUGUGAGGAGGAUCUGUGAGGGUACCGCCUGGCUGGAGUGGAGCCCUUUUUGUUUGGAUGCAGACCAUGUGCUUCCACCAGAGUUUGAUGUUUUUAGGUAUCAAAGGAAGGUCUCCAGGAACCCUGCAACUAAAGACUUUAAUGAGGACCAUGCCCAAGAAAUCCUGGCUGCCAAAGACAUGACGAUGAUUUAUGUCGCUCACUCACUCCCUAACAGCAAGAGGACUAUUUGUAAAAAUUAAAAAGCUGCUCAUAUGGAAUUAAACAAGAGCAUAGCUGCUUCCUUCCAGACCCCGGAGCUUAACAAAGAGAAUCCA
rnacentral:lncRNA from 1 species